rnacentral:rRNA from 1 species
CACGUAGGGCGCAAGCGUUGUCCGGAAUUAUUGGGCGUAAAGAGCUCGUAGGCGGUCUGUUGCGUCCGCUGUGAAAACUCGGGGCUUAACCCCGAGCCUGCAGUGGAUACGGGCAGACUAGAGGUAGGUAGGGGAGAAUGGAAUUCCCGGUGUAGAGGUGAAAUUCGUAGAUAUCAGGAGGAACACCAGUGGCGAAGGCGGCUUCCUGGACACCAACUGACGCUGAGACGCGAAAGCGUGGGGAGCAAACAGG